rnacentral:rRNA from 1 species
UAAGCGGAGGAAAAGAAACUAACAAGGAUUCCCCUAGUAACGGCGAGUGAAGCGGGAAGAGCUCAAAUUUGAAAUCUGGUAGCCUUCGGCUGCCCGAGUUGUAAUCUAGAGAAGUGUUUUCCGUGCCGGCCCAUGUACAAGUCCCUUGGAACAGGGCGUCAUAGAGGGUGAGAAUCCCGUCCUUGACAUGGACCCCCGGUGCUUUGUGAUACACUUUCAACGAGUCGAGUUGUUUGGGAAUGCAGCUCAAAAUGGGUGGUGAAUUCCAUCUAAAGCUAAAUAUUGGCGAGAGACCGAUAGCGAACAAGUACCGUGAGGGAAAGAUGAAAAGCACUUUGGAAAGAGAGUUAAACAGUACGUGAAAUUGUUGAAAGGGAAACGAUUGAAGUCAGUCAUGCUCUUUGGAUUCAGCCGUUCUGCGGUGUAUUUCCAUUGAGUGGGGUCAACAUCAGUUUUGACCGCUGGAUAAAGGCACUAGGAAGGUAGCACUCUCGGGUGAACUUAUAGCCUAGCGUCAUAUACAGUGGUUGGGACUGAGGAACGCAGCAUGCCUUUAUGGCCGGGAUUCGUCCACGUACAUGCU